AUUGAACGCUGGCGGCAUGCCUUACACAUGCAAGUCGAACGGCAGCACGGGAGCAAUCCUGGUGGCGAGUGGCGAACGGGUGGGUAAAGUAUCGGAACGUGCCCAGUCGUGGGGGAUAACGUAGCGAAAGUUACGCUAAUACCGCAUACGAUCUAUGGAUGAAAGCGGGGGAUCGCAAGACCUCGCGCGAUUGGAGCGGCCGAUAUCAGAUUAGGUAGUGGGUGGGGUAAAGUCACACCAAGCCGACGAUCUGUAGCUGGUCUGAGAGGACCACCAGCCAUACUGGGCGUAAAACACGGCCCAGAAUCCUACGGGAGGCAGCAGUGGGGAAUUUUGGACAAUGAGCGAAAGCCUGAUCCAGCCAUGCCGCGUGCAGGAUGAAGGCCUUCGGGUUGUAAACUGCUUUUGUACGGAACGAAAAGGUUUGGGCUAAUAAGCUGAGCUCAUGACGGUACCGUAAGAAUAAGCACCGGCUAACUACGUGCCAGCCGCCGCCGUAA
rnacentral:rRNA from 1 species